rnacentral:rRNA from 1 species
UACGAAGGGGGCUAGCGUUGCUCGGAAUUACUGGGCGUAAAGCGCACGUAGGCGGCUUUCUAAGUCGGGGGUGAAAUCCUGGAGCUCAACUCCAGAACUGCCUUCGAUACUGGAAAGCUCGAGUCCGGGAGAGGUGAGUGGAACUGCGAGUGUAGAGGUGAAAUUCGUAGAUAUUGGAUGGAACACCAGUGGCGAAAGCGGCUCUCUGGCCCGGAUCUGACGCUGAGGCGCGAAAGCGUGGGGAGCAAACAGGAUUGAGAUACC